GGGGAGGCCGGCUGGUCCGGAGGCGCCCGCGCGCUCAUAGCGGCCCACGAGUGCCCGCCCCCUGCGUGUCAGGGAUGCGGAGUCUCAAGCACGCCAUCCUCCCGUUUAACAUUCUUCCCCCAUGCAUCACGUAAGGGUCUUCCCGCCGAAAGAGCAGCCUCAUGCCGUCAACGGAAGAUCCAGGGGGGACAAGAGACAAAUGUUCAAUUUUUCACACUUUGAGGGACAACUCCCGUCCCGUGACCAUAUAUGGCAUGAAAUGUUGCAAUACCCGUGUUGGAAGGAGUAUGGUUAAAGAUGCGCGCUUCAUCUGUGCCUCCAGGCUCUAGAUGUUGCGAAAUCUUGUAGCCUAGAAAACGGUAGGUAAAGAAACGCAUGGGCUUCCUCCCAGCUCCUUCAUGCAGAACUGUACAGGAUGUUUGCCUGAGGUCAGAAUUACAUGUUGGCAGCUAGAGCGGUAGACGGAGGCCCUGGGCGUUUAACACCCACAGUACAUGCAAAUAUAUAUUCAAGACUUUUAAUCUCUUCCUGGUGUGAAGAUCUGAAAUUCUGCCUCUUAAGCUAAACCGAUAAAAGAUGAAAGUUAACAAUCCUAAAAUGGCAACGGUGGUGUACUAUCCGACCUGGGGCAGACUUUGGUAAUAUGGCCCUCAAUAUUUCUUAUCUUCACAAUAAUUCGGACUCAUUGAAGAGGUAAUUGUAUCAAGAGGUAAUUGUAUCAAGUGUUGGCAAAUAACUAGUUUGCAGUUCUGAAAGAACUGAAAAGUAAAUGUUUUAUCAAUUAACCAAUAUUCCCAUCCAAAUAUUAAACUGACACUAAAGUGAAAAGUCUCUCUAUAUUUUCCUGUUCUCUUUCACUUUAAUUUCUUUCUUCCUAGACUCUUAACUGCCUUGCCUCAUGACCUCUCACUCAUUCUAAGUGUCUCUUCCUUCUUCAGGUUCUAAUCACUGCCUUGGGAUGUUCCUGUCGAUCACAAGCAACUCCUCAUCAAUGAAAAGUAUUGCUGGCUCAGGCCAAAGUAGCCUGGCAUCCUGUUCUCACAGUGGCUAACUGGAUGCCUAUGGGAACUCCAUAAACAGGACUUGAGCACAAUUCAGAACAUACAUACAGAAUCUUCCAACAUUCAGCUUCACUGUCUAGGCCCCAAACCUAGUCUUACAAGUGAGGGACUUUCUCCAACCUUAUAUAAACUAUAUUAAGUCCACUGCUUACUCCAAAUGUUGUAACCUUUCCUCAUAGUGGAGUUGCUUCAUCCUCUUUUUCACUUUGAUUGCCCUUUUUCUGUACACUUCCCAGCUCUGAAAGGGCUUGUGGGUAUUGCACACCCCUCCCCACUUCUUGCAGUCAACACCAUUGAUUUUCCACCAGCUUCCUGAAGGCACUCUUACCAGAACUUUUUGUUGCUCAGGUGUGCAUUUGACUUCAGCACCUUUCUCUGGCAAACAAUUUAUGGAUCACAGUGCAGGUGGAGAUUGUGUAUGAUCACUUGCUAUUUGUCAUAGCUGGGUGGGUAGCAGUAGUCCUACAUGAAUAAGUUGUUUUAGGUUUACUUCCAAUUAUAAGCAGGAUGCAAACUGGGACUUUCACAGCAGAAGAAAUAAAUUUCCCAAUGUUACCUAUGGGGCACUCACUGGUUCUAGGUGUUAACAGAAUAAAAGAGUAGGACCAGACUUGCAAGCAAAGUGUCUCUGUGGGAAAGGCCAUGAGGAAAUACAAGAACCUCUGGAGGACCACAGGUUCCUCAUCCCUAGGAUGCACAGAUUAUAGUCUUGCACUGGUUUAGAAAGGGUGAGGGGCAAGCAUAUAAAGCACCAAAAAUGAUGGAGGGGAGAAGUAUGUCAAGAAAAGCUUCCGCAGACUCAACCAUACUGUCAAUAUAGAUAGCAAGCUUCCAUUAAUUCACCACUGUCCAUAGGACAAUCUCUUCCAAAUCACAUGCCUCACUGUAGCCAUGUUUAAUGGGGGGAAGGCACCUCAGAGGGGUUUGGCAGACCUCUUUCUAAGGUGCCUCUCCCCCUCCAUUAAACUUUGCCACAGCUGCAUUUACAGUAGCGUGAACACACUUCAGAAAGCGCUUUGCCAACCUCCCUCCAUUAAACAGCUCACCUGGGCAACUUGCACUUCUUGCUUAUUUGCCUGCCUGCCAUUUUGUCAUCAUGCUGGAGUUGGCAUGGCCACACAAACCAUUGGCCACACAAACUGAAGCAUGAUGGCAGCCUUAGAUUUUUAUGUAUACAGGAAAAUUGAUAACUCUACCUCCUCCUAUGAAGCCUUCCCAGUAUGCCCAUAUUACACAGAGAACUGUGUGUGUCACAAGACCCAGAGUUCUGCUGUGAUUGAGUUUGGAUCGGCAAGAGGAGGAAGAUUAAAGUGGAGGUGCUGAAUGGCGGGAACCUGAGCUGGAGGAGGGAAGACCUCCUUCUUCUGCCCCAACCUCUGCCUCUUUGGAAGGAGAGCCUUGCUGCAAAGCAGAGAGCCCCAGUGGAUAUUGGGGAGGGCCAGGAGGCAGCAGUGACUAAAUAGGAAUGUGAACAGCAGAGUGCAAUCCUGUCACCUAGAACCAGGUACUGUCUUUGCAGAUUGGACUGAACCCACUCACCGUAACACACAUUUGUAUCAGGAUUACACAUUUGUAAUCCUGAUAUCCCCGCUAGUUUGAGUAAGUUUGGCAAGUGAGUGUGCCAUUCCUCAUCUUUAAAAGCUUGGCAGGCAGGGCAUGGAGAGUUGACAACAUUGUCAUUUCCAUCUAUUGAUGAACUUUUUGCCUUGUUCCUGAACUCCUGAAUCAUGUCCCCUGAGCUCUAUGUCUGCUGCCAAGUCUGUUCCAUUACUUGCCUAAAUAAAUAUCUCUUUCUUGCUCCCAA